rnacentral:antisense_RNA from 1 species
AAUACGCCACCAGCGUACGUUGACACAGCUCUGAGCGAACACAGUCCUCUUUGCCAAAGGUGACAAUGCCUACCAUGCCAUCUUCCGUAAAUCGCUCCAGCGCGUCGCGCAGACCCGAUUUCACGCCGGCUGGCAAGUCACACUGCGUAAUAUCGCCAUUGACGAUCACCGUAACAUUCUCGCCCAGACGCGUC